rnacentral:rRNA from 1 species
UACUCUAGUCCAAAACCCCAAUCAUCACAACUACUACACAAGUCGUAAAACAAAACAUUUAUCCAAAAAAGUAUAGGAGAUAGAACAUUUUUAAGGCACUAUAGAGAUAGUACCGCAAGGGAAAGAUGAAAGAUAAAUUACACAGUAAAAAAAAGCAUAGAUUACCCCUACUACCUUUUGUAUAAUGAAUUAACUAGAACCAACUUGACAAAGUGAACUGAAGCCAACCACCCCGAAACCAAACGAGCUACUUCCAAACAGCUAACAGAGCAAACUCGUCUAUGUAGCAAAAUAGUGAGAAGAUUUCGAAGUAGAGGUGAAAAGCCAACCGAGUUUGGUGAUAACUGGUUAUCCAAAUAAGAAUUUAGUUCAGCUUUAAGUUUUCCCAAAACACCAGAAAGUCUAAUGAAAACUUAAAACUUAAUUUAAAGAGGGACAGCUCUUUAAAACAAGGGAACAACCUUCAACAGUGGGUAAGUAAAUCAAAAUACCAUAGUUGGCCUAAAAGCAGCCAUCAAUUAAGAAAGCGUUCAAGCUCAACAAUCCACCAAACCCUAGAAUCUCUUCAAAACUAAACAAACCCCUGACCAACAAUUGGAUUAAUCUAUAAACACAUAGAAGAAAUAAUGUUAAUAUUAGUAACAAGAAAUAUUUCUCCCUGCACAAGCUUAAAUCAACCAUUCAAUUGAUUAUUAACAACCUAAUAAGACAAGAUCCAUCAUUAGUACUCUUAUUAGCUUUCCUUGUUAACCCAACACAGGAGUGCAUUCAGGAAAGACAAAAAAAAGCAAAAGGAACUCGGCAAA